UACAGAGGCCUCGAGCGUUAGGCGGAAUCACUGGGCUUAAAGCGUGUGUAGGCGGACUUCUAAGUACCUUGUGAAAUCCCACGGCUCACCCGUGGAACUGCUUGGUAUACUGGUUGUCUUGAGCCUUCUAGGGGCGAGUGGAACAAAUGGUGGAGCGGUGAAAUGCGUAGAUAUCAUUUGGAACGCCAAUGGUGAAAACAACUCGCUGGGGAAGUGCUGACGCUGAGACACGAAAGCCAGAGGAGCGAACGGG
rnacentral:rRNA from 1 species